rnacentral:rRNA from 1 species
GCUCAAAUUUGAAAUCUGGCACCUUCGGUGUCCGAGUUGUAAUUUGAAGAAGGUAACUUUGGAGUCAGCUCUUGUCUAUGUUCCUUGGAACAGGACGUCACAGAGGGUGAGAAUCCCGUGCGAUGAGAUGUCUGAUUCUAUGUAAAGUGCUUUCGAAGAGUCGAGUUGUUUGGGAAUGCAGCUCUAAGUGGGUGGUAAAUUCCAUCUAAAGCUAAAUAUUGGCGAGAGACCGAUAGCGAACAAGUACAGUGAUGGAAAGAUGAAAAGAACUUUGAAAAGAGAGUGAAAAAGUACGUGAAAUUGUUGAAAGGGAAGGGUUUGAGAUCAGACUUGGUAUUUUGUAUGUCUUGCUUUCGGGUGGGGCCUCUACAGUUUACUGGGCCAGCAUCGGUUUGGACGGUAGGAUAAUGACAUUGGAAUGUGGCACCACUUCGGUGGUGUGUUAUAGACUUUGUUGAUACUGCCUGUCUAGACCGAGGACUGCGUCUUUGACUAGGAUGCUGGCAUAAUGAUCUUAAACCGC